rnacentral:lncRNA from 1 species
AUGUCUGCCUCAGUUGUUUUCCCUCCUUCUUGUUUAUCCAGUCCUGUUUUUCUUCCAGGGGGCCUCCCCGAUCCCCGGUUCUCUCCUUUCCUCACGCCCAGCCCCUUUCCCCAGCAGGGCCGGCCCUGGCUGAGCCUCCCCCAUUGUGUCUUGCUGGGCUUCCCUGGACAGUUGGAAGGGCGGCUCUGGCUCCUGGCGCUUGCUUCUGGCUCUUACAAGUGGUGGCUGGUCGGGAAAGCACCCGAGGGUGGGCGCAGGGAGCGGCGGUGCAGGAGAACUGGGCCCCGGUCAGGCCCCUGCUGCCAAACCCCCCACAUGGGGGGGGGCGGAGGGGGGGGCGGCUGUGGCCUCUUUCUUCCUCUACUUCCUUUGUCUCCCCGGCGUUGGGCCCUCCGGCUGGGCCCGGAUUUCCAGGUUCGGAGAUGGGUCAGUGAGCCGCUCCUGUCCUCUACGGAAGGACCCCCGCCCCGGGGGCCCGCCGCCCUCAUAUUGUGGAUGCGCGGAUGUGUGUAUCUGUUUCCGCAACUUAGCCUUUCGCACGUGACCUCCCUGGCAGUUGCCAUGGAAACCCCUCUUCAAUUCUCAGCCUCCCUCCUUUUCCUGCCCAUUCCUCACCUCCAUAUCGCCUCCCCUCCCCCCCCAACAUGGUUGCCUAGAGACUGGUUAUCCCUGGCUUCUCUGGCUCCCAGACCCUGGGUAGCCAGCUCCCACCUGGAACCCAGGCGGCGGCUUCCUCGCUCCAGCUGCCCCCCCACUACACCCCGCAGACGUGCCCCGAACGCCCCAAACGCAUAUCCAUCCGUGCAUACCGCACCGCACACACUCCCUCACACACACGCACCACGCGUUCUGUCGUGCCACGCACUCGAACACACUACAGGUACGUGUAUCUCAUCCCGCAGGUACACCGCAUGCACACCCAGUUCAUCCUACACAGGACCCUCAAUGCCACUCCCACAUUGCGUGUGCUCUCACACCAACGAAAACACGCACACGCACACACACACAGUACUUCGAGAGAAGUCUCGAGCUGGAAGAGAGAGGGCAGUUUCCUGCCUCAUCUGGCUCUGUGCGGGAGUGUGUGUAGGGAAGGCCCAGGGAAGGCCAGAAGGAAACAUCUCCCUGGGGACGCGGGGUUAG